rnacentral:rRNA from 1 species
UUCCAUUUACGAACGAGACAUUAGCCUGCUAACUAGCUACACGGAGGUGAUCCUCCGUGGCUAGCUUCUUAGAGGGACUAUGGCCUUUUAGGCCACGGAAGUUUGAGGCAAUAACAGGUCUAUGAUGCCCUUGGAAAGGGGCCUAAGUCCCCUAGAAAGGGGCACCGGAGAGGGUGAGAGCCCCAUCAUGCCCGGACCCUGUCGUAUCAUGAGGCGCUGUCUACGAGUCAGGUUGUUUGGGAAUGCAGCCCUAAUCGGGCUGUAAAUUCCGUCUAAGGCUAAAUACGGGUGAGAGACCGAUAGUGAACAAGUACCGCGAGGGAAAGAUGAAAAGGACUUUGAAAAGAGAGUCAAAGAGUGCUUGAAAUUGUCAGGAGGGAAGCGGAUGAGGGCUGGCGAUGCGCCCCAAUCAAAGUGGAACGGUGAGAGCCAGUCUACCGAUCGGCUCGAGGUGUGGACUUACGCGGGUCGUGUCGGUGGCCCAAGCUCCGGCCUUUGAUACGCCUAUGGAGACGUCGUCGCCUCGAUCGUGGGAUCCAGCACGCACUGUCUCGGCGUGCUUCGGCACCUACGUGUUCCGGACGUCGGCCUGCGGGCUCCCCAUUCUACCCAUCUUGAAACACGGACUAAGGAGUCUGACAUGUGUGUGAGUCAAUGGGCUAGAAAACCUAUAAGGCGCAAGGAAGCUGAUUGGCGGGAUCCCUCACAGGUGCACCGCCGACCGACCUUAAUCUUCUGAGAAGGGUUCAAGUGAGAGCAUGCAUGUCGGGACCCGAAAGAUGGUGAGCUAUGCCUGAGCGGGGCGAAGCCAGAGGAAACUCUGGUGGAGGCCCGCAGCGAUACUAACGUGUAAAUCGUUCAUCUAACUUGGGUAUAGGGGCGAAAGACUAAUCGAACCGUCUAGUGUCAUUGGCCAGAGUUCAAAGCCCGUGACCAUCGAACCAAAUGCAUCUAAUGAAGGUCUAUUGCUUAGAUGAGGAUCAUUUAGCCCACGUUAGCUGGCCCGAUUCAAGGAACUCUUGGAGAAGCCUGUCAGAUUGAAGCCUGGUUGGCCCGAUAACGAAGAUAUGGCAACUUAGGAAACUAUGGUAACUAAUCUUUAAAGAUAAAGGGAAUCAUAUCUUGUAAUGAUUAGAUAGGAUUUGAUAUGGCAAUAUCUUGUAAAUCCCUUAAAUCAUGGGAUUGGUUAAUCUCGUCCGUCGAUGUAAUUGUAUCUUGACCGUCGGUUUUGGGGGAGCUCAAGUAUAAAUAGAGAGCCUCCCCUCAUUUGUACUGAGGAGAGAGUGAGAGACUCCAUUCAUUGUUUUAUUAUUCUUUGUGAAUAAGAGAAUAGGGAGCAUUUACUCAAGCACUUUGCGAGCGUCCCUUUCUAUUGUUCUUUAUAAGCUUCUUUCGGCAUAAGUUUUCCGCUGUACGAGUUGGUGCCUUUGAGUAGUUCUUAAGGAAUCCUCAUUCGAGUAAAAGCUGACUUGGGCGAGUUUGGACGAGAAAAUUGCCUAAGGCUUUACGGAUUGCGAGAAAAAAGGUCUAGCCCCAUGACAAGUGGUAUCCGAGCUAGUGUUUGAACCAAGUGGUAUCCGAGCUGUUGGUUCGAAGGCACUGUUGGGAUGUCGAAAGAAGAGUUCGAACAAAGGCGGGCAAGAAAAGGUUUGAGAGAGAUGCUGUCGACAGUAGAGGAAUGUGUGGGUAAACUCGAGGGAUCCGUGGAGGACGUAAAGGAGGCACUCGAUGGGUUCGAGGGUCACAUAGACAACUGGAAGGAACAAUCCAGAGACUAUGUAAAGAUGUCUCUUAAUUCAACCAUAUAUAAGGUAAACGAGUUGUUUGAUUCACAUGAAGAUAAACUGUUGGACAAGAACGAUUCUCUUGAGGCCAUGUUGAUAGCUUUGAAGGAGGAAACAAUGGCUACGGCGCUGGCUUUAAGCACAAGAAUAGAGGAGCUCGAGGGAGAGCUAGCCUUGUGUCGAGCAGCGGUGGGGGAAGGAGUGUCAAGUGCAGCACUCAGUAAUGAGUAUGUCCCGAAGCCAAAAGAGUUUGUGGGGACAAGAUUUGUAUGUGAUGUGGACAAUUUCUUGUGGAGGAUGGAAAACUAAUUUCGUGCCAAAGGCAUCAUGGAUGAUGCGGAUAAGGUAAACACUGCAUCAUUAUUUCUUACUGAUAUUGCGCUUUUAUUGUGGCGAGGUAGGACCAUGGAUAAAAGGCAAGGUAAGAUUGGAAGUAAUAGAGUUCUGAGAACAUUUACUCAAACAUCUUGUGUGCGAUCUUUUCUGUGGCUUUUUGUUGUUCUUUUCAGGCUUCUUUUGGCAUAAGUUUGCUUCCGCUAUUCGAGUUGGUGCCUUAGAGGAGUUCUUAAGGAAUCCUUAUUCAAGUAAAUGCUGACUUGGGGGAGUUUGGAUAAGUAAAUCGCCUAAGGCCGCACGGAUUGUAAGACGAAAGGUCUAGCCCCAUGAAAAGUGGUAUCAAAGCUGUUCGUUCGAAGGCACUAUUGGGAUGUCGAAAGAAGAGUUCGAACAAAGGCGGGCAAGAAAAGGUUUGAGAGAGAUGCUGUCGGCAGUAGAUGAACCUUAAAAUUAUGAACUCAUUUGAUUUGGCUAACUUUCACCCGAUCAGUCUUUGCAGGGUGAUUUACAAGAUGGUUUCUAAUACCCUGUGAAUAGGCUUAAAGUGGUCCUCCCCAUGUGCAUUAGCCAAAACCAGAGUGCCUUCAUUCCCAACCGGAUAAUCGAUGACAAUAUUUUAGUCGCCCAUGAGCUCAUGCACUAUCUCCGAAUCUCCAAGAAUGGUCCAAAUAAGGGUUGUAUGGUCAAGCUCGACAUGAGCAAGCCUAUGAUCGAGUAGAGUGGAGUUUUCUUGAGAAAGUGAUGACUAAAAUAUGUUUUUCUAAUGUUUGGAUCUCUAGAAUUAUGGAUUGUGUGUGCACUGUCCGGUAUAGAGUUAAAUGUAACACGACUCUGUCCGAUGUUAUUAUCCCGGAGAGAGGUCUUCGACAAGGGGACCCUUUGUCCCCUUAUUUGUUUUUGUUUUGUAUGGAUGCUUUCUCUCGCAUGUUGCUCUACGCACAAGAGCUUAAGAAUAUUAAAGGCGUUCGGGCUAGUAGGCAGGGCCCUAGGAUUAACCAUCUAUUUUUUACUGAUGAUGCGCUUUUGUUUUUCAGGAAUAAUCAAAAGGAGGUGGAGGCGUUCACUGAAAUUCUGGAAUCGUUCGAGAGAAUGUCGGGCCAAAGGGUCAAUUUGGACAAAUCCAUGGUUUACUUCAGUCCUAACACCCCUGAUUCUCAACAAGUGAUUUUGAGUGGUUUGCUUAAAAUGAAGGUGGUGGCUAACUUCGAUGGUUACCUUGGUUUGCCUAUCCCGAUUGGGAAGAAGAAGUCAGCAGCUUUUUAGGGCAUUAUUGAUCGGGUGGCUAAAAGAAUUAAUAGUUGGUUAAAACGGUUAUUGUCUAAGGGUGGCAAGGAAAUUUUUGUCAAGUCCAUUCUUCAGUCUAUUCCUACCUAUGCGUUCUCGGUGUUUUUUUCUCCUGAGGGUGUCCUUGAGGAGAUCCAAGCUUUGAUCAGGCGCGUUUGGUAGGGGGAAAAGACAAUAACAGAGGUUGGAAUAUGAUGGUUUAGGACUGGUUGUGCCAUCCAAAAGGAAUAGGGGGUCUUGGCUUUAGGGAUCUCCGGUGUUUUAAUGUGGCCCUCAUUGGUCGGCAAGUCUGGCAUCUUAUCAACUGCAAAGAGACUCUAUGCUUCAAGGUGCUGGGCGCUAAGUAUUUCCCCAACGGUGAUGUUUUUAAUCCCAAGAGUAUGGACAAGCCCUCCUAUACUUGGAAAAAUAUUGCUAAGGCAACUAGUAUGUUGCAUGCGAGCUUUGGGUGUAAUGUUGGUAAUGGUAGGAGUACUAAAAUUUCGCACGACAAGUAGGGUUUUGAGGGGCUGGAUGGUGAAUCCAUUCGGCUUCAUAAGAGGUGGGUCCGGGAGAAUAAUGUGUGUGAGUUGUUGAAUGAUAGCAGGGACGGCUUGCAGGAGACAAGGGUUAAGAAGAUUUACGAUGAUUACUUGGGGGACCAGAUUUGUAAAAUUCCCAUUAUCCAUAAUGGUCCGGACGAUAGGCUUAUUUGGUUUCACAACCCCAGUGGCUCUUACACGACAAAGUCAGCUUAUUCUUGGUUAACCCUUGAGGGUGUAGGGUAUGGUCCUCAUCGUGUCUUUUGGCAGCUUAUGUGGAAGCUUCAAACCCUCCUUAAGAUUAGGAUUUUUUGCUGGCGGUUGGGCCACGAGCUCCUCCCUACGAACGAGAAAAUAACUAGCAUUUGUAGUGGCUUCGAUAGUACUUGCCCAACGUGCAGGCUGAAGAAAGAGACUCCGAUUCAUGAUUUAAAAAAUUGUCCGAUGGCUAGAGCGGUGUUAGAGUAUAGUGGUCUUAACAAUACCUUGCUGGAGGGAGACUAUCUUCGGUGCAGUGACUGGAUUGAAGGAGCGGCGCGUCUGUUGGAUAAGAAGGCCCUGUCUGACUUCAUUACCAUCUUGUGGAACAUCUGGAAUAGCAGGAAUAAUCAUAUUUUUCAUGGAGAUGACGAGGUGGCUAAAAUGAUUUGGGAGAGAGCUGGUUCGUUGAGCCACGACUUUCGCAUCUUCAACCUGCUGGAAGAGAGCUUGUUUUGCCGCGUAAGGUAGAGAAUAAAGCAUGGAGAAAACCUGCGCUGGAUUGGAUAAAAAUUAAUUUCGAAGCCUCCGCCAAGGGAAAAAAAAUGUAUUUUGGGUUGGUGGCUAGGGACUUUGACGGCUUUGUGUUGGGUGGUCGGAUAGGCGUGGUGGAUAAUGAGGGGCGAAGUGAUUGGCUGAGAUGUUGGCGCUGAAAGAGGGUAUCCAUUUUGCCCGGUCAAUGAGAUGGACUAAGAUGGAGUUAGAGACAGAUUGCGUCAGCCUUAUUAACCGCUAUAAUAAACGAGACAGUGACUUGACGACUUUCGGCCAUCGCAUGGGGGAGAUUCACAUGGAGCUGGUUCCAUUUAUUAGUUUC